GUUACGCUAAUACCGCAUACGAUCUAAGGAUGAAAGUGGGGGAUCGCAAGACCUCAUGCUCAUGGAGCGGCCGAUAUCUGAUUAGCUAGUUGGUAGGGUAAAAGCCUACCAAGGCAUCGAUCAGUAGCUGGUCUGAGAGGACGACCAGCCACACUGGGACUGAGACACGGCUCAGACUCCUACGGGAGGCAGCAGUGGGGAAUUUUGGACAAUGGGCGAAAGCCUGAUCCAGCAAUGCCGCGUGUGUGAAGAAGGCCUUCGGGUUGUAAAGCACUUUUGGCGGGAACGAAACGGGCUGAGAUAAUACCUUGGCCUAAUGACGGUACCCGCAGAAUAAGCACCGGCUAACUACGUGCCAGCAGCCGCGGUAAUACGUAGGGUGCAAGCGUUAAUCGGAAUUACUGGGCGUAAAGCGUGCGCAGGCGGUUAUGUAAGACAGAUGUGAAAUGCGGCUUAACCUGGGAACUGCAUUUGUGACUGCAUGGCUAGAAUCUGG
rnacentral:rRNA from 1 species